rnacentral:rRNA from 1 species
UGGGGAAUUUUGGACAAUGGGCGAAAGCCUGAUCCAGCAAUGCCGCGUGUGUGAAGAAGGCCUUCGGGUUGUAAAGCACUUUUGUCCGGAAAGAAAUCCUUGGCUCUAAUACAGUCGGGGGAUGACGGUACCGGAAGAAUAAGCACCGGCUAACUACGUGCCAGCAGCCGCGGUAAUACGUAGGGUGCAAGCGUUAAUCGGAAUUACUGGGCGUAAAGCGUGCGCAGGCGGUUUGCUAAGACCGAUGUGAAAUCCCCGGGCUCAACCUGGGAACUGCAUUGGUGACUGGCAGGCUAGAGUAUGGCAGAGGGGGGUAGAAUUCCACGUGUAGCAGUGAAAUGCGUAGAGAUGUGGAGGAAUACCGAUGGCGAAGGCAGCCCCCUGGGCCAAUACUGACGCUCAUGCACGAAAAGCGUGGGGAGCAAAACAGGAUUAGAUACCCUGGUAGUCCACGCCCUAAAACGAUGUCAACUAGUUGUUGGGGAUUCAUUUCCUUAGUAACGUAGCUAACGCGUGAAGUUGACCGCCUGGGGAGUACGGUCGCAAGAUUAAAACUCAAAUGAAUUGACGGGGUCAUAGCU